CCCUUUGGGUGUGACUGCGUACCUUUUGUAUAAUGGGUCAGCGACUUAUAUUCUGUAGCAAGGUUAACCGAAUAGGGGAGCCGGAGGGAAACCGAGUCUUAACCGGGCGUUAAGUUGCAGGGUAUAGACCCGAAACCCGGUGAUCUAGCCAUGGGCAGGUUGAAGGUUGGGUAACACUAACUGGAGGACCGAACCGACUAAUGUUGAAAAAUUAGCGGAUGACCUGUGGCUGGGGGUGAAAGGCCAAUCAAACCGGGAGAUAGCUGGUUCUCCCCGAAAGCUAUUUAGGUAGCGCCUCGUGAAUUCAUCUCCGGGGGUAGAGCACUGUUUCGGCUAGGGGGCCAUCCCGGCUUACCAACCCGAUGCAAACUGCGAAUACCGGAGAAUGUUAUCACGGGAGACACACGGCGGGUGCUAACGUCCGUCGUGAAGAGGGAAACAACCCAGACCGCCAGCUAAGGUCCCAAAGUCAUGGUUAAGUGGGAAACGAUGUGGGAAGGCCCAGACAGCCAGGAUGUUGGCUUAGAAGCAGCCAUCAUUUAAAGAAAGCGUAAUAGCUCACUGGUCGAGUCGGCCUGCGCGGAAGAUGUAACGGGGCUAAACCAUGCACCGAAGCUGCGGCAGCGACACUGUGUGUUGUUGGGUAGGGGAGCGUUCUGUAAGCCUGUGAAGGUGUGUCGUGAGGCAUGCUGGAGGUAUCAGAAGUGCGAAUGCUGACAUAAGUAACGAUAAAGCGGGUGAAAAGCCCGCUCGCCGGAAGACCAAGGGUUCCUGUCCAACGUUAAUCGGGGCAGGGUGAGUCGACCCCUAAGGCGAGGCCGAAAGGCGUAGUCGAUGGGAAACGGGUUAAUAUUCCCGUACUUGGUGUUACUGCGAAGGGGGGACGGAGAAGGCUAUGUUGGCCGGGCGACGGUUGUC
rnacentral:rRNA from 1 species